AUUAAACGGAUGCAUAGAAAAAUUACAAGACCAAAAUUAAUACAUGGUAUUGUGAUGACAAGCUAUGGAAAAACUUUUUUAUUAAUUUAUUUAUUUAAUAGACGGGAUCAACCCCAUUACAAAAAAAAAAUAUUACAAAGUUCAAUAGUUACACCUAACCAUAACUUAAAAUAGCUAAAAUACAAAUAUGUUUUUACAGGCAAACCAACAUAAAAUCAACAGAAGAGUUUACACAAUCUCUCUAAUUUGAUUCCUAAAACUAGACAAGCCAAUGCCCACAACUUCAAUAUCCUCAUGGUUGAUAAUAUUUAAGGUUGUUUCGAUAGGGGAGUGAGUGGCAUAGUUGGUACUGUGAAAAGGCAAAGCAAAUAGUCGGUUUCGUCUCAAGAGUCUUGAGGGGACAUUGAAGCUAAUUCUACCGAGAAGGUCGGGGCAUACAAUCAGACCAUUAAGAAGCUUAAAUACAAAGGUUAAAUCACCACGAAUACGUCUUUCUCUCAAUGUUGUCAUAGCCAGCACUUCCCGUGCAUCAUCAUAAACAUGAUCGUUCGGGCCAGACAGCUGUUCAUGUAAUAGGGGGACCAUAUCAUUGAGCCAUACUCCAAUAAAGAAACCAGCAAAGACAUGUACACUCUCUUACAGGUCUCGACUGAUAGCUCUCUACAGUUACGCAGAACAAAACCCAGAACCCUGGAGGACCUAACCACUAUAUUAUUUAUGUGUAUAUUAAAAUUUAAAUGAUCGUCAAAAUAAAUGCCAAGAUCCUUGAUUGUAUCAGAAUACUGAACAGGGCUUCCCUCUAUAUUGUAUGAUGUUACAACUUUUUUACUUCUUUUGUGAAAACUAAUAUAAUUACAUUUCUUUAUGUUUAAGAAUAA